GCUCACACAUUUGGAAGAGCUCAAUGCAGAACAUUUAGCCCCCGUUUGUACAACUUCAAUAACACUAAUUCUCCAGACCCAACAUUGAACACAACGUAUCUGCAAACGCUUCAACAAAUAUGUCCACAAGGAGGAAAUGGGAGUGUAAUAACUAAUCUUGAUCUAACAACUCCUGAUACCUUUGAUAAUGAAUAUUUCUCCAAUCUUCUAAUUGGAGAAGGCCUUCUCCAGAGUGAUCAAGAACUAUUUAACACAACUGGGGCUGAUACUGUUGCUAUUGUUCAAAAUUUUAGUGCUAAUCAGACUGCUUUUUUUGAAAGCUUUGUGACGUCCAUGCUCAGAAUGGGAAAUCUCAGCGUUUUAACAGGAACUACUGGAGAGAUUAGAUUGAAUUGCAGCAAAGUUAAUGGAAAUUCAUCAGCUGGAGCAGAAACUCUUCUUGUUAGCUCCAUGUGAUUUAAGAAAAACGUUGUAUGCUAAAAUAAGCUGUCAUGAUUAGACCA
rnacentral:misc_RNA from 1 species